rnacentral:lncRNA from 1 species
CACGUACCGCUGAUGAGUGAGUUCCACGAUCACUGGGCUGAGGAGCACUCCAAGCUCUCGUUCCCUUGGAGACUGCAGGACCCUGUCAACCCUGGCCUGUUUGGGCCACCUCUCCCCAGAUUGUACCUCUCCUACUCCAGGGGACUGCCCCUACAACCCCACCAGGGCCAGGCAUGGCUACAACUUAGGUGCUACCAGCAGCUGCUGAGGGACAGUAAGCCACAGGGUGCUCAGAGAGCCCUAAUCAGAAUCCCUGUGCCCAAGGCCUACCCCACCAGGCCUGGAGUCCCGCAAGAGCUCAGCAGGGAGAAGCCCAGGCCCACCUGAUACCUUGUGCCUGUUACCUUGCACCCACAGAGCUGACCUCCGGGCCAAGGCCGUGGAGCUGGAACAUGAGACAUUCCGGAACGCCAAGGUGGCCAACCUCUACAAGGCCAGCGUGCUGAAGAAGGUGGCCGAUAUCCACAGAGCCUCCAAGGAUGGGCAGCCCUAUGACAUGGGAGGCAGUGCCAAGAGCUG